CCUGUUCGCCGCGCUCAAGGCCUGCGCCCGUUCCGAAACGAACAUAAUUAGAAUCUCUAACAAUAAUCAACAAACGCGCUACUAAUUACCGCAAGAGAAAUUAGCGAGGAACCAGUCCAGCUUGACACCCUCCAUCCUGCUGAUUCCUUACUCGAUCGUCUCGAUGAAUCGCUCGCUAGUAGCGAAUCGUUUCUGGGACAGUCGAUAUCCGGUUUUAUCAU